rnacentral:tRNA from 1 species
CGAAAUCGGUAGACGCUACGGACUUAUUCGUUGGCUUUAAAGACCGUGAGGGUUCAAGUCCCUCUACCCCCAAA